rnacentral:rRNA from 1 species
UACGUAGGGUCCGAGCGUUUGUCCGGAAUUAUUGGGCGUAAAGGGCUCGUAGGCGGUCUGUUGCGUCAGGAGUGAAAAACUCGGGGGCUUAACCCCCGAGCCUGCUUCUGAUACGGGCAGACUAGAGGUAUGCAGGGGAGAACGGAAUUCCUGGUGUAGCGGUGAAAUGCGCAGAUAUCAGGAGGAACACCGGUGGCGAAGGCGGUUCUCUGGGCAUUACCUGACGCUGAGGAGCGAAAAGUGUGGGGGAGCGAACAGG